rnacentral:piRNA from 1 species
UUCUCUCUGUUUGCAAUUUUU